rnacentral:rRNA from 1 species
GACUGGGGUGGUAUGUCUGUCAAACGGUAACACAGGUGUCCCUAGGCAAGCUCAGCGUGAACAGAAACCACACAUCGAGCAAACGAGCAAAAGCAAUUAAAAUACAAAGCCUGUGUAUUUCAUUAGCAAUAUAG